rnacentral:snoRNA from 1 species
GUACAUGAUGAUAAAAGGGAUUCCUAUGCCUUCGGGUGAUGAGGUAUUGAUACAGCCAUAAGUGGACUGUACCAAUUGUUCCUUCUGAGA